rnacentral:lncRNA from 1 species
UUCUUCCUGGAUGUUUUUAGUCUCUGUUUUCCUCUAUGGCUUCGUAUGGUGAAGCAACAUAACGAGGUUGAGGCGUAGAGAUAUCCAGAUGAAGGUGCGGUCAAGGUGGAGCUUAUCUUUGGUUGUGUCGCUUCACGGGUUGUGCCUUGGUGUAGGCGUUGUGUUUCGGUAUUUGUCAUCGUGAACAAGUGGUUCAGAUGAGGUUUUGUUGGUUCUGGCAUUGUCAUUGUGAACUUGGGGUUCAAAUGAAGUAUCUGCUCUGUUGCGUGCUAUCUCGCCUAGUUCAUGGCAAGAAAUCCGGCUAAUCAUAGAUUAUUAAGUUCUUACCUUUUCUAUCUAAUAUUGAUUUGUGUGUGGGUUUGUUGAAAGAGUUUAGGAUUUUGUUUAUGUCUCAGCUGUUCAUGUGUCAC